rnacentral:rRNA from 1 species
UACCCUUGACAUGUCCGAGAGCCGCGAGAGAUCGCGGUGUGCCCGAAAGGGAAUCGGAACACAGGUGCUGCAUGGCUGUCGUCAGCUCGUGUCGUGAGAUGUUGGGUUAAGUCCCGCAACGAGCGCAACCCUUGUCAUUAGUUGCUACAUUCAGUUGGGCACUCUAAUGAGACUGCCGGUGACAAACCGGAGGAAGGUGGGGAUGACGUCAAGUCCUCAUGGCCCUUAUGGGUAGGGCUUCACACGUAAUACAAUGGCGCGUACAGAGGGUUGCCAAGGAGCGAUCUGGAGCCAAUCCCGUAAAGCGCGUCGUAGUCCGGAUUGCAGUCUGCAACUCGACUGCAUGAAGUCGGAAUCGCUAGUAAUCGCGGAUCAGCAUGUCGCGGUGAAUACGUUCCCGGGUC